rnacentral:rRNA from 1 species
UACGAGGGGAGCAAGCGUUGUUCGGAUUUACUGGGCGUAAAGGGCGCGUAGGCGGCCACUGCAAGUCAGUUGUGAAAUCUCCGGGCUUAACCCGGAAAGGUCAACUGAUACUGCAGGGCUAGAGUGCAGAAGGGGCAACUGGAAUUCUCGGUGUAGCGGUGAAAUGCGUAGAUAUCGAGAGGAACACCUGCGGCGAAGGCGGGUUGCUGGGCUGACACUGACGCUGAGGCGCGAAAGCCAGGGGAGCGAACGGG